rnacentral:rRNA from 1 species
GAUGAACGCUGGCGGCGUGCCUAAUACAUGCAAGUCGAGCGAACAGACGAGGAGCUUGCUCCUCUGACGUUAGCGGCGGACGGGUGAGUAACACGUGGAUAACCUACCUAUAAGACUGGGAUAACUUCGGGAAACCGGAGCUAAUACCGGAUAAUAUAUUGAACCGCAUGGUUCAAUAGUGAAAGACGGUUUUGCUGUCACUUAUAGAUGGAUCCGCGCCGCAUUAGCUAGUUGGUAAGGUAACGGCUUACCAAGGCGACGAUGCGUAGCCGACCUGAGAGGGUGAUCGGCCACAAUGGAACUGAGACACGGUCCAGACCCCUACGGGAGGCAGCAGUAGGGAAUCUUCCGCAAGGGGCGAAAGCCUGACGGAGCAACGCCGCGGGAGUGAGGAAGGGCUUCGGAUCGUAAAACUCUUUUAUUAGGGAAGAAAAAAUGUGUAAGUAACUAUGCACGUCUUGACGGUACCUAAUCAGAAAGCCACGGCUAACUACGU